rnacentral:rRNA from 1 species
UACGAAGGGAGCUAGCGUUGUUCGGAAUCACUGGGCGUAAAGCGCACGUAGGCGGAUGUGUCAGUCAGGGGUGAAAUCCCGGAGCUCAACUUCGGAACUGCCCUUGAUACAGCACGUCUUGAGUCCGGAAGAGGUGGGUGGAAUUCCUAGUGUAGAGGUGAAAUUCGUAGAUAUUAGGAAGAACACCGGUGGCGAAGGCGGCCCACUGGCCCGGUACUGACGCUGAGGUGCGAAAGCGUGGGGAGCAAACAGG